CAAUGUCAAGAGCGCUGCACCGGGCGGAGGGAGCAGGGUGCAUGAGGAAAGCAAUGUCAAACUCAUUAUCUUAAGAAGUGAAAGUUGUCUUUUAAUUCUCCUACCUGUGAAGAUAACUGUCCAAUAAUGUGCGACUUGGCAAGGACGCUGAAACAAGAGCACCAGCUUAAUGGGGCUUCAUUGUCCGAAGUGUGGUGUCAUAAUUAACUAGUACAAGGAUUCAAAAUAAAUCACCUGGAAAGGAAAAAAGAAGUUGUAAGUGGGAAGUUCGGGGUCUGAUUCAAGAUUACUGUGAAACUUCAGGAUUCCUACUGAGAAAUCCCGAGUUUGAAAGAGCUACAAUCGGGGCGCCUGGGUGGCUUAGUCGG